GACGAACGCUGGCGGCGUGCUUAACACAUGCAAGUCGAACGGAAAGGCCCUGCUUUUGUGGGGUGCUCGAGUGGCGAACGGGUGAGUAACACGUGAGUAACCUGCCCUUGACUUUGGGAUAACUUCAGGAAACUGGGGCUAAUACCGGAUAGGAGCUCCUGCUGCAUGGUGGGGGUUGGAAAGUUUCGGCGGUUGGGGAUGGACUCGCGGCUUAUCAGCUUGUUGGUGGGGUAGUGGCUUACCAAGGCUUUGACGGGUAGCCGGCCUGAGAGGGUGACCGGCCACAUUGGGACUGAGAUGCGGCCCAGACUCCUACGGGAGGCAGCAGUGGGGAAUAUUGCACAAUGGGCGGAAGCCUGAUGCAGCAACGCCGCGUGCGGGAUGACGGCCUUCGGGGUGGAAACCGCUUUCGCCUGUGACGAAGCGUGAGUGACGGUAAUGGGUAAAGAAGCACCGGCUAACUACGUG
rnacentral:rRNA from 1 species